rnacentral:misc_RNA from 1 species
AAAAAAAACCAUUGGGACGCAGAAAUCUAGAUCAUCAAUACUAAUUCGACAAGUUGCGAAAAUUACUCUACCAGUAGUCACACUUUGAUAUCUCAGACAGCUUAAGCUUCUGCUUCGAGUUGUAAUGGAAGCGAGGAAAGUCGCCUCUUCUGAAUGCGGGGAGGAAGAUGCUUGGUGUACUUCUUGGGGCUAACUGUCCAGGGUAAGAAUACCCCUGUGCCAUUGCUG